CUUUUUUUUCCUCAGAAGCCACCACCUGUAGGUUCUCUGAAGGGAGGCAACAGGUUGGUGCUAGAUGACGACCUUUGGGGGAAUAGAAGAGAGGCGUCAGCCAGACCGUGCCUGUGUGACGGGGCUCCUGGAUCUGAAGGCCGGGCUCCAGGGGUUGUGGUGCCCGCGCCAGCUCCUGGCACAGUGAACACGUUCCGCCUGACGGGAAGGCAGACGCGGGGAAGGAGAGUGUUGGGGAUACCAACGCAAACAAGACAAGGUGCCCGACCCCAAAACGCCGACGAGAUGAGCCACACAGGAGGAGCGCCUCUGCGUCUAUGGAGCCAGGAGAGACUGCGUUGAGAGGACAGCUGUCGGGAGAGCUCUAAAGACAGGGAGUGUGGACGCCACUGGUCCUUCGGUGUAAAGGAAGCGAAGUUUUUUGUGAUGUUUUAUGUAUUUAACUUAAAAUUAGACAAAAUCGGAUAAAAAA
ensembl:lncRNA